AGCGUCAUUACACCCCUCAAGCGUAGCUUGGUAUUGGGUGCUCGCCCCUCGGGGCGCGCCCGAAAAACAGUGGCGGUCCGGUGCGACUUCGAGCGUAGUAAAUUAUCUCCCGCUUUGGAAGUUCGCCCCGUGGCCGGCCAUCAAUGCCCAACUUUUCAGUGAUUGACCUCGGAUCAGGUAGGGAUACCCGCUGAACUUAA
rnacentral:misc_RNA from 1 species